GGGGAUAUAACUCAGUGGUGCAGUGCCUGCCUGGCAAGCAUGAAGCCCUGAGUUCAAUUCCUGGUACCA
rnacentral:tRNA from 1 species